AUGAUGGAGCAACCAAAGCAGUGGCUCACAGAGACGGAACAGUAUGAGGAGGAGCUAGCUUACAUGUACCAGCAAGAGGAGCCGCUACCUGACCAUCAAGGCCAGUACUACACGUCGUUCUAUCCAUGUCGCAGCUCCAAUUCCCCGAGCUUUGGGGGUGAGAGCUUGAACGAGCUGGGGCAGCCAUAUCCGGCUCUGUCACCAUCAGCCAACUUCCUCUCCUUCGCCGCUGCCGAGGCUAGCACCCACAACUUCUCUGGAGGAUCCUACGGUGGACUCCAAGUUCAGGGUACGAGGCAGCAGCUGCAGGCGCCUGCAAGGCAGGGCAGGGCGACGGCGAGCGCGCAUGAGCACGUCAUUGCAGAGCGCAAGCGGCGGGAGAAGCUGCAGCGGCAGUUCGUGUCCCUGGCCACCAUUGUCCCAGCUGGCGUCAGGAAGGUACCCCCUUUGUUUCUUUUUAGUUCGUUUCUGAGGUCAAACUUCAUAAAGCUUGGUCAUGCGGACAAGAUCUCUUUGCUUGGGAGCGCCAUCGACUACGUGAAGCAGCUGGAGGAAAAGGUGAAGGCCCUGGGAGAGCAAGGCCUGCUAAAGUCGCCAGAGUGCACCUUGUUCGAGAGCAAGUGCAGCAUAUCCGCCGCCGACAAGGACGACUCAGCAGGCCCCAGCGGGAGCGGCUCCAGCUCCGGGGACUCGAGCCCGGUGGAUGUCGAGGCCAGCACCAGGGCCUCUCCAUCAUAA
rnacentral:rRNA from 1 species